rnacentral:rRNA from 1 species
UACGUAGGCAGCAAGCGUUGUUCGGAGUUACUGGGCGUAAAGAGUAUGUAGGCGGUUGCGUAAGUUCGGUGUGAAAUCUCCCGGCUUAACUGGGAGGGUGCGCCGUAGACUGUGGGGCUAGAGUGUGGGAGAGGAAAGUGGAAUUCCUGGUGUAGCGGUGAAAUGCGUAGAUAUCAGGAGGAACACCGGUGGUGUAAACGGCUUUCUGGACCAUAACUGACACUGAGGCACGAAAGCGUGGGUAGCAAACAGG